AGAGUUUGAUCAUGGCUCAGGAUGAACGCUGGCGGCGUGCCUAACACAUGCAAGUCGAACGUCCUGUGCUCGUAAGAGCGCAGGGAGUGGCGGACGGGUGAGUAACACAUGGGAACCUACCUUUCAGUGAGGAAUACCGGCGAGAAAUCGCCGACAAGACCGCAUGGGCUUCGCCUUUUGUAAGGGGAAGCAAAGUCACUCUUUCGGGAGUGACGCUGGAAGAUGGGCCUGUGGCCGAUUAGCUCGCUGGUGGGGUAAAAGCCUACCAGGGCCACGAUCGGUAGCUGGUCUGAGAGGACGAGCAGCCACACUGGGAUUGAGAACGGCCCAGACUCCUACGGGGGGCAGCAGUGAGGAAUUUUCCGCAAUGGGCGCAAGCCUGACGCAGCCACGCCGCGUGAGUGAAGAAGGCCUUCGGGUUGUAAAGCUCUGUCGGAAGGGACAAAAACGUUUAGGGUUAAUAGCCCUAGAUCUUGAUGGUACCUUCAAAGGAAGCACCGGCUAACUUCGUGCCAGCCGCCGCGGUAAUAC
rnacentral:rRNA from 1 species